rnacentral:rRNA from 1 species
AUUGAACGCUGGCGGCAGGCCUAACACAUGCAAGUCGAACGAGUGGCGGACGGGUGAGUAAUGUCUGGGAAACUGCCUGAUGGAGGGGGAUAACUACUGGAAACGGUAGCUAAUACCGCAUACCAUCGGAUGUGCCCAGAUGGGAUUAGCUAGUAGGUGGGGUAACGGCUUACCUAGGCUACGAUCCCUAGCUGGUCUGAGAGGGUGACCAGCCAUACGGGAACUGAGAGACGGGCCAGACUCCUGCGUGAGGCAGCAGUGGGGAAUAUUGCACAAUGGGCGCAAGCCUGCUGAAGCCAGGCCGCGUGUGUGAAGAAGGCCUUCGGGUUGUAAAGCCCUUUCAGCGGGGAGGCGUUACCCGCAGAAGAAGCACCGGCUAACUCCGUGCCAGCAGCCGCGGUAAUAC